rnacentral:rRNA from 1 species
AGAGUUUGAUCAUGGCUCAGAACGUACGCUGGCGGCACGCCUAACACAUGCAAGUCGAACGCAGUAGCAAUACUGAGUGGCGAACGGGUGAGUAUAAUGUGGGUAUCUGCCUUUUGGUUUGGAAUAACACGAGGAAACUUGUGCUAAUACCGAAUAAGCCCUUACGGGGAAAGUUUUAACGCCGAAAGAUGAGCCCGCACUUGAUUAGCUUGUUGGUAGGGUAAUGGCCUACCAAGGCUACGAUCAAUAGCUGAUCUGAGAGGAUGAUCAGCCACAUUGGGACUGAGACACGGCCCAAACUCCUACGGGAGGCAGCAGUGGGGAAUAUUGCACAAUGGGGGAAACCCUGAUGCAGCGAUGCCGCGUGAGUGAAGAAGGCCUUUGGGUUGUAAAGCUCUUUCGUCGGGGAAGAAAAUGACUGUACCCGAAUAAGAAGGUCCGGCUAACUUCGUGCCAGCAGCCGCGGUAAUACGAAGGGACCUAGCGUAGUUCGGAAUUACUGGGCUUAAAGAGCACGUAGGUGGUUAAGAAAGUUGGUGGUGAAAUCCCAAGGCUUAACCUUGGAACUGCCACCAAAACUUUUUAACUAGAGUGUGAUUAAGGUAAGCGGAAUUUCUAGUGUAGAGGUGAAAUUCGUAGAUAUUAGAAAGAACACCAAUUGCGAAGGCAGUUUUCUGGAUCAUUACUGACACUGAGGUGCGAAAGCAUGGGUAGCGAAGAGGAUUAGAUACCCUCGUAGUCCAUGCCGUAAACGAUGUGUGCUAGACGUUGGGAAUUUAUUUUUCAGUGUCGCAGCAAAAGCGUUAAGCACACCGCCUGGGGAGUACGACCGCAAGGUUAAAACUCAAAUGAAUUGACGGGGACCCGCACAAGUAGUGGAGCAUGUGGUUUAAUUCGAAGAUACGCGCAGAACCUUACCAACACUUGACAUGUCUGUCGCGAACCUAAGAGAUUAGGUUUUCAUUUAGUUGGACAGAACACAGGUGCUGCAUGGCUGUCGUCAGCUCGUGUCGUGAGAUGUUGGGUUAAGUCCCGCAACGAGCGCAACCCCUACUUUUAGUUGCCACCAUUUAGUUGAGCACUCUAAAAGAACUGCCAGUGAUAAGCUGGAGGAAGGCGGGGAUGACGUCAAGUCCUCAUGGCCCUUACGUGUUGGGCUACACACGUGCUACAAUGGCACUUACAAUGAGAAGCAAAGAUGCAAGUCUAAGCCAAUCUCAAAAAGGUGCCUCAGUUCGGAUUGCACUCUGCAACUCGAGUGCAUGAAGCUGGAAUUACUAGUAAUCGCGGAUCAGCGCGCCGCGGUGAAUACGUUCCCGGGUCUUGUACACACCGCCCGUCACACCAUGGAAGUUGGUUACACCUGAAGGCAAAAUUUAAAACUUUUGACUACGGUACGAUCAGCGACUGGGGUGAAGUCGUAACAAGGUAGCC